CAUGGUCUGCGUUUGGAAAGAUUUUUCGGUUGGGGAGGGGCUCGCGGCCUAUCAGCUUGUUGGUGAGGUAAUGGCUCACCAAGGCGUCGACGGGUAGCCGGCCUGAGAGGGUGACCGGCCACACUGGAACUGAGACACGGCCCAGACUCCUACGGGAGGCAGCAGUGGGGAAUAUUGCACAAUGGGCGAAAGCCUGAUGCAGCAACGCCGCGUGAGGGAUGACGGCCUUCGGGUUGUAAACCUCUUUUAGCAGGGAAGAAGCGAAAGUGACGGUACCUGCAGAAAAAGCGCCGGCUAACUACGUGCCAGCAGCCGCGGUAAUACGUAGGGCGCAAGCGUUAUCCGGAAUUAUUGGGCGUAAAGAGCUCGUAGGCGGUUUGUCGCGUCUGCUGUGAAAUCCCGAGGCUCAACCUCGGGCCUGCAGUGGGUACGGGCAGACUAGAGUGCGGUAGGGGAGAUUGGAAUUCCUGGUGUAGCGGUGGAAUGCGCAGAUAUCAGGAGGAACACCGAUGGCGAAGGCAGAUCUCUGGGCCGUAACUGACGCUGAGGAGCGAAAGGGUGGGGAGCAAACAGGCUUAGAUACCCUGGUAGUCCACCCCGUAAACGUUGGGAACUAGUUGUGGGGUCCAUUCCACGGAUUCCGUGACGCAGCUAACGCAUUAAGUUCCCCGCCUGGGGAGUACGGCCGCAAGGCUAAAACUCAAAGGAAUUGACGGGGACCCGCACAAGCGGCGGAGCAUGCGGAUUAAUUCGAUGCAACGCGAAGAACCUUACCAAGGCUUGACAUAUACGAGAACGGGCCAGAAAUGGUCAACUCUUUGGACACUCGUAAACAGGUGGUGCAUGGUUGUCGUCAGCUCGUGUCGUGAGAUGUUGGGUUAAGUCCCGCAACGAGCGCAACCCUCGUUCUAUGUUGCCAGCACGUAAUGGUGGGAACUCAUGGGAUACUGCCGGGGUCAACUCGGAGGAAGGUGGGGAUGACGUCAAAUCAUCAUGCCCCUUAUGUCUUGGGCUUCACGCAUGCUACAAUGGCCGGUACAAAGGGCUGCAAUACCGUGAGGUGGAGCGAAUCCCAAAAAGCCGGUCCCAGUUCGGAUUGAGGUCUGCAACUCGACCUCAUGAAGUCGGAGUCGCUAGUAAUCGCAGAUCAGCAACGCUGCGGUGAAUACGUUCCCGGGUCUUGUACACACCGCCCGUCAAGUCAUGAAAGUCGGUAACACCUGAAGCCGGUGGCCUAACCCUUGUGGAGGGAGCCGUCGAAG
rnacentral:rRNA from 1 species